AGACCUGUGCAGGCUUCAGCUGAUGGGGGUGCAGUGCAGUAGCUGUUUAUCAUGCUUCACUUAUCCUGAUCACUGGUUUAAGCUGCACCACCAGGG
rnacentral:pre_miRNA from 1 species